rnacentral:rRNA from 1 species
UACGAAGGGUGCAAGCGUUACUCGGAAUUACUGGGCGUAAAGCGCGCGUAGGCGGUUGUGUCAGUCGGAUGUGAAAGCCCCGGGCUUAACCUGGGAACUGCAUUCGAUACUGCACAGCUAGAGUCUGGGAGAGGGAAGUGGAAUUCCGGGUGUAGCGGUGAAAUGCGUAGAUAUCCGGAGGAACACCAGUGGCGAAGGCGACUUCCUGGCCUAAGACUGACGCUGAGGUGCGAAAGCGUGGGGAGCAAACAGG